rnacentral:tRNA from 1 species
GGAGAGAUGCUCGAGUGGUUGAAGAGGCACGCCUGGAAAGCGUGUAUGCGCCAAAAGCGUAUCACGAGUUCGAAUCUCGUUCUCUCCG